AGCUUUGCGCAGUGGAAGUAUCAUGGCCAGUGAGGUUUAUCUGAAGUGUGAUUAUUGCUAAUUGAAAAUAAAGUUUUAAAUGUCCUAACUAUAAAGUUAGAAAUCCAGUUCCCCUAGGAG
ensembl:snRNA U4 U4 spliceosomal RNA